GACGAACGCUGGCGGCGUGCUUAACACAUGCAAGUCGAACGGGCCCGCUCCCUUUUUUGGGGGUGGGUUGAGUGGCGAACGGGUGAGUAUCACGUGAGUAACCUGCCCCCUGCUCCUGGAUAACUGCUUGAAAGGGCGGCUAAUACGGGGUGUGCCGGCUGGUCCGCAUGGGCCUGGUCGGGAUAGUUUCAUCUUCGGGUGUUUCGGUGGGGGAUGGGCUCGCGGCCUAUCAGCUUGUUGGUGGGGUGAUGGCCCACCAAGGCGGUGACGGGUAGCCGGCCUGGGAGGGUGGGCGGCCACACUGGGACUGAGACACGGCCCCGACUGCUGCGGGAGGGAGCAGUGGGGGGUAUUGCACAAUGGGCGGAAGCCUGAUGCAGCGACGUCGCGUGAGGGAUGGAGGCCUUCGGGUUGUGAACCUCUUUCUCCGGUGGUGAAGGCCCUGUCCGUUGCGGCGGGGUUGACGGUAGCCGGGUAUGAAGCGCCGGCUAACUACGUG
rnacentral:rRNA from 1 species